AUGAUCGGUCCCAACCUCAACGUGGCUGACUGGAACGUUCGAGGCCUGAACGACCAAGCUCGCAAAGACACGGUCCACGCCUUUCUGUCAGACACUCCCUGCCAUAUCGCGUGUCUUCAAGAGACCAAACUUGAUUUCAUAGAUCAGCAAACUGCGGCCUACAUUGGUGGUUUUAAGCUCAGAUCUUUCGCUCACAAGCCAGCUGUUGGCACACGAGGUGGUAUUCUUCUUCUCUGGAAUGAAGAUCAAGUCUCUGUUACAAACGUUCACAUUGGCAGCUUUUUGAUCUCCGCCCAGAUCACCAUCCGUGAGUGCAGCACCUCUUUUCUCCUCACC
rnacentral:rRNA from 1 species